rnacentral:pre_miRNA from 1 species
AAAAGGAACACUUGUUACAUCGUUAACCCACUUGUGGAAACUCUACAAGGCUAUGGAGUUUUUUAGACUCCACAAGCGAGUUAAGGAUGUGACAAGUGUCCUAUA